rnacentral:rRNA from 1 species
AUAACAGUCAGAAAUGACUGCUAAUACCGCAUAAGACCACAGCACCGCAUGGUGCAGGGGUAAAAACUCCGGUGGUACAGGAUGGACCCGCGUCUGAUUAGCUGGUUGGUGAGGUAACGGCUCACCAAGGCGACGAUCAGUAGCCGGCUUGAGAGAGUGAACGGCCACAUUGGGACUGAGACACGGCCCAAACUCCUACGGGAGGCAGCAGUGGGGAAUAUUGCACAAUGGGGGAAACCCUGAUGCAGCGACGCCGCGUGAGUGAAGAAGUAUCUCGGUAUGUAAAGCUCUAUCAGCAGGGAAGAAAAUGACGGUACCUGACUAAGAAGCCCCGGCUAACUACGUGCCAGCAGCCGCGGUAAUACGUAGGGGGCAAGCGUUAUCCGGAAUUACUGGGUGUAAAGGGUGCGUAGGUGGUAUGGCAAGUCAGAAGUGAAAACCCAGGGCUUAACUCUGGGACUGCUUUUGAAACUGUCAGACUGGAGUGCAGGAGAGGUAAGCGGAAUUCCUAGUGUAGCGGUGAAAUGCGUAGAUAUUAGGAGGAACAUCAGUGGCGAAGGCGGCUUACUGGACUGAAACUGACACUGAGGCACGAAAGCGUGGGGAGCAAACAGGAUUAGAUACCCUGGUAGUCCACGCCGUAAAC